UGGUCAAGUUAUUAAGGGUGCAGGGCGGAUGCCUUGGCACUAGGAGCCGAUGAAGGACGUGAUAAGCUGCGAUAAGCUUCGGGGAGUUGCACGUAAACUUUGAUCCGAAGAUUUCCGAAUGAGGAAACUCACUUAGAGUAAUGUCUAAGUAUCAUUAAGUGAAUACAUAGCUUAAUGAGGGGAACUCAGGGAACUGAAACAUCUAAGUACCUGAAGGAAGAGAAAGAAAUUCGAUUCCGUAAGUAGCGGCGAGCGAACGCGGAUUAGCCCAAACCAAUAAAGUUUUCUUUAUUGGGGUUGCGGACAUAUCAUAACGAAGAGGUAUCGUAAUUGAAGAGGUUUGGAAAGACCCACCACAGAAGGUAAUAGUCCUGUAUGUUAAACGAGAAGACUUUAGAUAUGAUCCAGAGUACCACGGGACACGUGAAACCCUGUGGGAAGCAGGAGGGACCACCCUCCAAGGCUAAAUACUACCUAGUGACCGAUAGCGUAUAGUACCGUGAGGGAAAGGUGAAAAGAACCCCGGGAGGGGAGUGAAAUAGAACCUGAAACCCUGCACUUACAAGCUGUGGAAGCACAUUUCUUGUGUGACCGCGUACUUUUUGUAGAACGGGCCAACGAGUUACGUUAAGUAGCAAGGUUAAGCACUUAAGGUGCGGAGCCGUAGCGAAAGCGAGUUUUAACUGAGCGGUCAGUUACUUGACGUAGACCCGAAACCGGGCGACCUACCCAUGAGCAGGAUGAAGCGAAAGUAAAAUUUCGGGGAGGUCCGAACCCACGAGCGUUGAAAAGCUCGGGGAUGACUUGUGGGUAGCGGU
rnacentral:rRNA from 1 species